rnacentral:rRNA from 1 species
GAUGAACGCUGGCGGCGUGCCUAACACAUGCAAGUCGAGCGAAAAGACGAGGCGCUUGCUCGUCUGACGUUAGCGGCGGACGGGUGAGUAACACGUGGAUAACCUACCUAUAAGACUGAGAUCAUUACGGGAAACCGGCUAUAAUACCGGAGAAUAUAUUGAACCGCAUGGUUCAUUAGUGAAAGACGGUUUUGCUGUCACUAAUAGAUGGAUCCGCGCCGCAUGAGCUAGUUGGUAAGGUAACGGCUUUCCACGGCGAGGAUGCGUUGCCGACCUGAGAGGGUGAUCGGCCACCCUGGAGCUGAGACGGGCUCCAUAGUCCUACGGGAGGCAGCAGUAGGGAAUCUUCCGCAACGGGCGAAAACCUUACGGAGCAAGGCCGCGUGUGUGAUGGAGGCCUUCGGAGCGGAAAGCUCUCUUAUUAGUGAUGAACAGAUUUGUACUUAGCUAUGCACGUCGUGACGGUACCUAGUCAGGAAGCCCCGGCUAACUACGUG